AGCGAACGCUGGCGGCAUGCUUAACACAUGCAGGUCGCGCGGGCGGUUUUCGGACCGUUAGCGGCGGACGGGUGAGUAUCGCGUAGGAACAUAUCCUGAGGUGGGGGACAACCCUGGGAAACUGGGGCUAAUACCGCAUGACUGUUGAGGCAGAAAGCCUUCGGGUGCCUUGGGAGUGGCCUGCGUCCGAUUAGGUAGUUGGUGGGGUAAAGGCCUACCAAGCCUGCGAUCGGUAGCGGUCUGAGAGGACGAUCAGCCACACUGGGACUGAGACACGGCCCAGACUCCUACGGGAGGCAGCAGUGGGGAAUAUUGCACAAUGGGCGCAAGCCUGAUGCAGCAACGCCGCGUGCGGGAUGACGGCC
rnacentral:rRNA from 1 species